CUGCAUGGCUGUCGUCAGCUCGUGUCGUGAGAUGUUGGGUUAAGUCCCGCAACGAGCGCAACCCUCGCCUUUAGUUGCCAUCAUUUAGUUGGGUACUCUAAAGGAACCGCCGGUGAUAAGCCGGAGGAAGGUGGGGAUGACGUCAAGUCCUCAUGGCCCUUACGCGUUGGGCUACACACGUGCUACAAUGGCGACUACAGUGGGCAGCCACCUCGCGAGAGGGAGCUAAUCUCCAAAAGUCGUCUCAGUUCGGAUCGUUCUCUGCAACUCGAGAGCGUGAAGGCGGAAUCGCUAGUAAUCGCGGAUCAGCAUGCCGCGGUGAAUACGUU
rnacentral:rRNA from 1 species